UGGGGAAUUUUGGACAAUGGGGGCAACCCUGAUCCAGCAAUGCCGCGUGAGUGAAGAAGGCCUUCGGGUUGUAAAGCUCUUUUGUCAGGGAAGAAACGGUAGUAGCGAAUAACUACUACUAAUGACGGUACCUGAAGAAUAAGCACCGGCUAACUACGUGCCAGCAGCCGCGGUAAUACGUAGGGUGCAAGCGUUAAUCGGAAUUACUGGGCGUAAAGCGUGCGCAGGCGGUUGUGUAAGUCAGAUGUGAAAUCCCCGGGCUCAACCUGGGAAUUGCAUUUGAGACUGCACGGCUAGAGUGUGUCAGAGGGGGGUAGAAUUCCACGUGUAGCAGUGAAAUGCGUAGAUAUGUGGAGGAAUACCGAUGGCGAAGGCAGCCCCCUGGGAUAACACUGACGCUCAUGCACGAAAGCGUGGGGAGCAAACAGGAUUAGAUACCCCCGUAGUCCCUGAGCGGGCUGGCAAGGCGCAU
rnacentral:rRNA from 1 species